GCUGGCGGCGUGCUUAACACAUGCAAGUCGAGUGCGCGUCUGUAGCAAUACAGAUGGCGCACGGCGCACGGGUGCGUAACACGUGGGUAAUCUGCCCUUCGAUGGGGAAUAACUUCGGGAAACCGAAGCUAAUUCCGCAUGACAUUCCUUGAACCUCGGUUUGGGGACUCAAAGCCGUAAGGCGUCGGAGGAGGAACCCGCGCACGAUUAGCUAGUUGGUAGGGUAACGGCCUACCAAGGCUUUGAUCGUUAGCUGGUCUGAGAGGAUGGCCAGCCACACUGGAACUGAGACACGGUCCAGACUCCUACGGGAGGCAGCAGUGGGGAAUCUUGCACAAUGGGCGAAAGCCUGAUGCAGCGACGCCGCGUGGGGGAUGAAGCUUUUCGGAGUGUAAACCCCUUUCGACCCGGACGAAUGCCCCGCAAGGGGGCUGACGGUACGGGUAUAAGAAGCCCCGGCUAACUACGUGCCAGCAGCCGCGGUAAGACGUGGGGGGCCAGCGUUGCUCGGAAUUACU
rnacentral:rRNA from 1 species